UACAGAGGUCUCAAGCGUUGUUCGGAUUCAUUGGGCGUAAAGGGUGCGUAGGUGGCGCCGUAAGUCAGGUGUGAAAUUUCGGAGCUUAACUCCGAAACUGCAUUUGAUACUGCGGUGCUUGAGGACUGGAGAGGAGACUGGAAUUUACGGUGUAGCAGUGAAAUGCGUAGAUAUCGUAAGGAAGACCAGUGGCGAAGGCAGGUCUCUGGACAGUUCCUGACACUGAGGCACGAAGGCCAGGGGAGCAAACGGG
rnacentral:rRNA from 1 species